AUUGAACGCUGGCGGCAGGCCUAACACAUGAAAGUCGAACGAGUGGCGGACGGGUGAGUAAUGUCUGGGAAACUGCACGAGGGAGGGGGAUAACUACUGGAAACGGUAGCUAAUAACGCAUACCAUCGGAUGUGCCCAGGUGGGGUUAGCUAGUAGGUGGGGUAAAUGCUCACCUAGGCGACGAUCCCUAGCUGGUCUGAGGGGAUGACCAGCAACACUGGAACUGAGACACGGUCCAGACUCCUACGGGAGGCAGCAGUGGGGAAUAUUGCACAAUGGGCGCAAGCCUUAUGCAGCCAUGCCGCGUGUAUGAAGAAGGCCUUCGGGUUGUAAAGUACUUUCAGCGAGGAGGCGUUACUCGCAGAAGAAGCAUCGGCUAACUCCGUGCCAGCAGCCGCGGUAAUUC
rnacentral:rRNA from 1 species